rnacentral:tRNA from 1 species
UCCAUCGAGCCGGAUUUGAACCAGCGACCUAAGGAUCACCGUUGUAACAUCUACAGUCCUCUGCUCUGCCAACUGAGCUAUCGAGGG